rnacentral:hammerhead_ribozyme from 1 species
AUCCUGAUGACGAGUCCCAAAUAAGGCAAAUGCGCAUCCUGGAU